UUCAAAGAACUAUAUCGAACAAAGUAUCUCACUGUAGAAGAUAAAGAUAUAAAAAAUAAUUUAAAUAGUUUCCAGAACUAAUAUUACAACUAUUAAUUUAAAAUCAAUUGGUAAAUAAAAACAUCUAUUAAAAUUAACUUCAAUCAUUUACUAAUCAUAAAAUAUCAAAUUUUUAUAGUUCAAUAAUCAAAAUAACAACUUUGUGCUCUCUUCUUUUCGCAACCUUUUUUCACUUACCUUUUAUAUCCAUUAUAACAUUUGUACCGGUACGGGGAGAGACGGAGACCCACCCGGCUGCCUGAUGCCGUGUCAGCCUGACCGAGACCAUGAGAACCUACUUGGCAGACCGGCCGAUUGACCGAGAUCUUUGGAGACUUGGCCGAGAGGUCGAGACCUUGGAAGGCUUGGCCGAGGCGACCGAGAGUUCGAGUCCUUAGAAGACUUGGCCGACUGGCCGAGACCUUGGAAGGCUUGGCCGAGGCGACCGAGAGGUCGAGACCUUAGAAGACUUGGCCGACUGGCCGAGACCUUGGAAGGCUUGGCCGAGGCGACCGAGAGGUCGAGACCUUAGAAGACUUGCCCGAGGGGCCGAGACCUUAGAAGACUUGGCCGAGAGGCCGAGACCUUAGAAGACUUGGCCGAGACGACCGAGACCACUGGAACAUGGCCGAUGGCCGACUCCUAUUAUAGUUAACGCUCAAACCAAGAUCAGUGAAGUUAAUCUAUCAUUAAGAAUUAGGUAAUGCAAACCUAAGAGGUGUCCACCUCGAUAAAUGGGCCCAACAAGGUAGGCCCACUAGAAUAAUAUAAAUAGCACGCAUUUCAAGGAGUAAGGUAUGUCAUCAUUACUGUUCACCUACCUGAGAGCUAACCACCCGCUUUACUGACUUGAGCGUCGGAGUGCCUUCGCAGGUACCCCCACCAUCCGGUGUUCACCCGACGACCGAGUCCCGAGUGCCGAAAGAUAAGCAGAAAGAAGAGAAGGAUCCCAGUUCAUCACUCAGCCACCUGCCCGACCGAAGGAAGGAGAAGAAGACUUCAACAGUUCUCUAGGUCCCAUCUCCCUAGCAGGAACAACAUUAACAUACGACAAACUUGUCUGCCCUGUUGCUUUCAGUUUCCUCUUCAUCAGUCGACCUUGUGAUCCAUGCACAAUAAUAAAUUUUUCCAGCAAGUGGUUAUCAUUUUGUAGAAAAUGUACAUUUGAAGUAUAUUAGCAACAACUUACCUCAACCUCAAUGGUGUCAUGAUAAUCCAUGAUUACUCUACCCAACUCAGAUGAGAACCAACACAACACAUGUGUCUUUUCUGGAGUCUCAACAUCCCGAUUCCAUUUUUU
rnacentral:lncRNA from 1 species